rnacentral:rRNA from 1 species
CCCCCCGUGAGAAUGCCCUUUAGUCCCCUGCCCGGGGAAAAGGAGCCGGUAUCAGGCACUACCAACUGAAGCCCACGACACCUUGCCCACAGCCACACCCUCAAGGGAAUUCAGCAGUGAUAAAUAUUAAGCAAUAAGUGAAAACUUGACUUAGAUAGGGCUAAUUGAGGGCCGGUAAACCUCGUGCCAGCCACCGCGGUUAUACGAAGGGCCCAAAUUGAUAGCCAUCGGCGUAAAGGGUGGUUAAGAUUAUAUUCAAAUAAAGCCAAAUGCCUUCAAAGCUGUAAUAAGCAUCCGAAGAUAAGAGGCUCAACUACGAAAGUGGCUUUACAAGAUCUGACCCCACGAAAGCUAGGGCACAAACUGGGAUUAGAUACCCCACUAUGCCUAGCCGUAAACAAUGACAAUGUACCACCCCCCAUUGUCCGCCCGGGAACUAAAAGCACGAGCUUGAAACCCAAAGGACUUGGCGGUGCUUAAAAUCCACCUAGAGGAGCCUGUUCUAGAACCGAUAACCCCCGUUCAACCUCACCCUUUCUUGUUAUCCCC